rnacentral:rRNA from 1 species
GAUGAGCGCUAGCGGCAGGCCUAACACAUGCAAGUCGAGGGGUAGAAGUUGCUUGCAACUUUGAGACCGGCGCACGGGUGCGUAACGCGUAUGCAAUCUGCCUUGUACUGAGGGAUAGCCCAGAGAAAUUUGGAUUAAUACCUCAUAGUAUUAUGGUGUGGCAUCACAUUAUAAUUAAAGUUCCAACGGUGCAAGAUGAGCAUGCGUCCCAUUAGUUAGUUGGUAAGGUAACGGCUUACCAAGACGAUGAUGGGUAGGGGUCCUGAGAGGGAGAUCCCCCACACUGGUACUGAGACACGGACCAGACUCCUACGGGAGGCAGCAGUGAGGAAUAUUGGUCAAUGGGCGCAAGCCUGAACCAGCCAUGCCGCGUGCAGGAUGACGGUCCUAUGGAUUGUAAACUGCUUUUAUACGGGAAGAAGCACUCCUACGUGUAGGAACUUGACGGUACCGUAAGAAUAAGGGUCGGCUAACUCCGUGCCAGCCGCCGCCGUAAAAC